GCCAGGCGUUGUGGCGGGCGCCUGUGGUCCCAGCUAUUUGGGAGGCUGAGGCAGGAGACUCGCUUGAGCCCAGGAGUUGGGGGUUGCUGUGAGCUAUGAUGCCACGGCACUCUACCCAGGGGGAUAGCUUGAGGCUCUGUCUCUUAAAAAAAAAAAAAAGGAUUUAUAAGGAGUUACAGGAAUAUUUGAAAUUAGAAAAGCUUAAUUUUUAGAUGAAUUUUUUUUUUUUUUUGAGACAGAGCCUCAAGCUGUUCCCCCUGGGUAGAGUGCCAUGGCUUCACUGCUCACAGCAACCUCCAACUUCUGGGCUCAAGCGAGUCUCCUGUCUCCA
rnacentral:SRP_RNA from 1 species